UACGUAGGGUGCAAGCGUUGUCCGGAAUUAUUGGGCGUAAAGAGCUCGUAGGCGGUUUGUCGCGUCGGCUGUGAAAGCCCGGAGCUCAACUCCGGGUCUGCAGUCGAUACGGGCAGACUUGAGUGUUGCAGGGGAGACUGGAAUUCCUGGUGUAGCGGUGAAAUGCGCAGAUAUCAGGAGGAACACCGGUGGCGAAGGCGGGUCUCUGGGCAACAACGUGACGCUGAGGAGCGAAAGCGUGGGGAGCGAACGGAUAGAAACCCU
rnacentral:rRNA from 1 species